UGUACCAGUACUAGGUACCAACUCUCAGGGAAGGUUAGAGCUGUGUAAAGCUGCAUAGGGAGGACCUACUAAGCCAUUGACCUGUGAUCUCUACCACAAACUGGAGCUUCACACCAGAGACUUUCUUUCCUGUGCUGCAGCCUAGCUACUCUCUGAACACCAUGGCAGCUCCAAUUCCAGCCAACUCAUUUCCAGCUUCAGACAUUUUUUUCUCUUUGGGCUAAAAAGAAAAAGGGUGUUGUGGUGAGAGGAUGGAAUUACCCAUCCUUGUUUUUCUGUUAUGCUUGACAAUGUGGUUGACCUCAUCAAUGUAUAUAAAUAUCUGAAGGGAGAGUGUCGAGAGGAUGGAGCCGGUCUCUUUUCAGUUGUACCCAGCGACAGGAUGAGAGGCGACAGGCACAAACUGAAGGACAGGAGGUUCUGGCUCAAUAUGAGAGGGCAUUUUUACU